UACGUAGGGUGCGAGCGUUAAUCGGAAUUACUGGGCAUAAAGCGUGCGCAGGCGGUUUUGUAAGCCAGAUGUGAAAGCCCCGGGCUUAACCUGGGAAUGGCAUUUGGGACUGCAAGGCUUGAGUGCGGCAGAGGAGACUGGAAUUCCUGGUGUAGCAGUGAAAUGCGUAGAUAUCAGGAGGAAUACCGAUGGCGAAGGCAGGUCUCUGGGCUGACACUGACGCUCAUGCACGAAAGCGUGGGGAGCAAACAGG
rnacentral:rRNA from 1 species